UCGUAACAAGGUUUCCGUAGGUGAACCUGCGGAAGGAUCAUUGUCGAGACCAAACGAAUAUUGAGCGAUUCAGAGAACCCGUGAAUAAAAGUGGCGGCAGUUGUUGUCACAGAAUAAUCGUCUUAUUCAUUGCCCCAUCUCUUUUGGGAAGGGGGAAUGAUGAAGGGCGUAUGAAAAAACUCAAACCGGCGCAGUUUCGCGCCAAGAGAAUAUAAAAAAUACACAAGCCCGUGAUUGGACUUAGUGGCAUGGAGUGCUGAUGCACACCAUAUGGAUUAACAUGACUCUCGGCAAUGGAUAUCUCGGCUCUCGCAUCGAUGAAGAGCGCAGCGAAAUGCGAUACGUGGUGCGAAUUGCAGAAUCCCGCGAACCAUCGAGUCUUUGAACGCAAGUUGCGCCCGAGGCCAAUCGGCCAAGGGCACGUCUGCCUGGGCGUCAAGCGUUGCAUCGCUCUGUGCCAACUCAACCCCGAUAAUAGGUGUUUUGGAUAAGGCUCAGAUGCGUAGAGUGGCCCAUCGUGCCCAUCAGCACGUUGGGUUGAAGAGCGGAUUAUCAUCUCAUUGGCCACAAACAACAAAGGGUGGACAAAAGCUAUGAGCAAUGCCUAUGUUGUCUUGUGUGCCCUGAGAAAAAAAAUUAUAUACCUUCGAGGUGAUCCCAACCCAUGCGUUGCUCCACAUGCGGCGGGCUUGGAAUGCACCCCCAGGAUGGGCGAGGCACCC
rnacentral:rRNA from 1 species